AAAAAAACAAUCUAAAACUCUCUGCUAGGGUUUUCCCUUAACACAACCCUAGCCGCCGCAGCCAAGCUAUUCCAUGGCCUCCGAUCCUCACCCACCUCCGAUUGCGACGGAGGGAACUAAGGUUCGACCACCAGGUACGUGGAAGACGUGCGUUGUGCGGAGCUGCUGUACGUUCGUGCGUGGAGGAGAACGUAUGGAGGGGGCGACGCUCGUGGGAAGCUGGAGGCAGCAGGUGAAGAUUCUAGGGUUUUCUGAUUUUUCAGUUUUGGGCUGAUUUGGGUUUUAGGGUAAUUGGGCUGGUGAAAUUGGGCCACAAACAUGUAAAAAUGGACAGUUUAUUGUUUUAUUUUAUAUUUGGGCUUUAGUAUUUGGUUUUU